AUACGGAGGGUGCAAGCGUUAAUGGGAAUUACUGGGCGUAAAGCGCGCGUAGGUGGAUAAUUAAGUCAGAUGUGAAAUCCCAGGGCUCAACCUUGGAACUGCAUUUGAUACUGGUUAUCUUGAGUACAGUAGAGGGAGGUGGAAUUUCAGGUGUAGCGGUGAAAUGCGUAGAUAUCUGAAGGAACAUCAGUGGCGAAGGCGACCUCCUGGACUGAUACUGACACUGAGGUGCGAAAGCGUGGGGAGCAAACAGGAUUAGAUACCCGGGUAGUCA
rnacentral:rRNA from 1 species